UACGGUUAAUUGAAAUAGUACAAGUAGUGGGUAUAAUUUAUGCCAUAUGCUUAAAUUCCUAUUUAGAUAAUUUGUUUGACAUCUUUUUUGACGGGACUAUAUUAACGUUACGCGGAAGAAUACUUCGUGCGAAGUCCUGUUGUAGAGAACUUAUAUGCGUGAACAGUAGCUUACCGUGGCAAAGUGCAACUGAUGCUUCAUCCGUUAACAGUGUGAAGAGGUAAGUUGCUGUUAGUAAUAUGUUGGUGCUGUCUGUGGUGGAGGUGAUUCCCUGAUGAGCUUAAAAGUUUCUAACAACGAUGAAAGGUAAUGAUAUACAGUGUGAGUACAAAGUUUUGCCUUGUUUAUAAAAAAUUAUAACCGUUUGACAUAAUAAAUUAAUAAGUUACAUUUGAUGCCCUUAGAUCGGCUAGUGUUACUAGUUGUUUUGAUCAAUACAUGGAGCUAGUGCUCAAUCACCGAUGCGGUCAGUUAGGUCACGUUAGUUGCUGGUGAAAUGGCGUCGAAGCAGAAGAAAGCGCAAUGUGUGCUUUGGUUUCACGAAACUUAAUCGCCCAUCAGUAGUCAACAUAAAUUUCGGGCUUAUUAAGGGCGCAGCCCUCCUGACGUUAAAUCGAUAAACCGAAGGUGUGCAACGUUUAACGAAAGAGACAGCGUCGAAGAUCACCUUCGAAGUGGCAUGCCUCGUGUGAGUGAUACAACAGUUCGUAGUGUUCGGCAAUAGUUUCAACGGAGUCCCUCUAAAUUAACUUGUCUAGCAGGAUCACGUGAACUUCAAAGAUUCAUCAAAGGUGUAGGUUGCAUGCUUACAAAGUGCAAAUCGUGUAAGCCUUGCAACCGAAUGAUUUUCUGAUAUGUUGCUAAUUUGCAACUGAAAUCCUCAACAGAUUGAUGGCCCUAACGUUUAUUUAAAUAUGCUUUACCGGUGAAUCAACCUUUCAUGUUAGUGGGAUGGUAAAUAGGCAUAAUGUCCGUAUAUAAGGUUCGGAGUCUCAACAUUCUACUGUAGUUACAGCUUAAAAGUGAACGCUGCCUCAUGCAUAACAAGGUUUUUGGACCGUUUUUCUUCGGGGAAAUAUCAAUUACCGCUAACAGUUACUUCGAUGUUUUGCAAUAGUUCAUUCCCACACAGAAGAAUAUCAACCAUGGAUAAUUUUCCAGCAAGAUGGAAUACUCCUAUAUCGCCCAGUGGGCUUUGAUGGCGCGUGAUUUCUUGGAUGAAAAGUUACGUGAUCGGUGAAUUGGAAGGCACUAAUAACCGCAUCAAAUGUAAAUCAUAUCAAACGGGUUUUCUGUAAUUGUUUAAUCAGGGCAACACUUUGUGCUCAAUUUUUUUACAUUCCGUGGACGAUUCGUGCGAAUGAUUGGUCGAGUUGGACCACGCGACAGGAACCCACAUCGAACAUCUCAAUGGAGAGAUCAGUACGUGAAUAAAAUUGUCCCAGCAACCCUUUAGCAGUUAUGGCCGGCUGUAGACAGCAUGGCUCGAUAUUUUUGCCAACGACUGGAUAAGUUAUUCACAAUGCUGUCAAUCCCGAAGACACACAGACGUGAGCAGCAGGAUUUUCGGUUGUACUGGAUUAUCGACCUAAUUUUUCAGACACGCCUAGAAAUUUGCUGUUUAGUUUACCAACAGCAACUAGUGCAUUGAAACUGUCAUGAGCCAGAGCAUAUUUUCGUAUCCUUUCAACUACUGAUGUUAUAUUGCGGCAAUUGGCCAAUAUGGCGUCAAAUCCGGUAAGCUUGUAUCGGCCUGCUCCAAAAGUAGUUGCAAGGAAAUUUAAGCAUCCUACUGUCUUAAACUGGAAAACUUGUUCAUGCCCUUAACAGACAAUGGGACUCUGUAGUGUGGCCCCGUGGAUGUUGUGAAAUGUACUGAAUCCUCAUUGUGUGGUAGAAUGUUGGGGAAAUAGUAUGUUUGCGGAAAUUAUCAUGAUUUUCUCUAUGGAACCGAUUUUGUGUGAGCGAAUGCCUGAAUGAACUAGAUCAUUGUGGAUAUCGGGCACUAAUUGCCCCAUUAACAUAUGCAGACAUACAACCGAUUUGCUAAACUAUUUUAUUUAGUUGGGUGUAGGCUGCUGAGUCAUGUCGCCACUGCCAAGGUUUAGUGACGAUGGCGGCAUCAGUUGUAUUGUAGCCGUCAAUACAGCUUGUUUUGUAGCUGGAAGCUAGUUUCUAGUUUUAAAAAAUUGCUGUAGAAAAGAAGUUUGGUUUUCUUAAACAAACCAAACUAACAAUGAGGAAGUAAAAGUUAAAAGUUCUCGAAGGUGGCUGUGAUCUGGCAUUUCGAUUUGUUGCAAGGCUGUGCAAGAAAACUGGAAGCAGAGACAGUGUAAAAGGAUUGGGUUUGUUUCGGGAUUUGUGACAGUUCUUACUCAGUAAAAUAAUUACAUGUAAUAAUGUAGAACUUUAUUAAAUAAAGACUUCCACAAAGUGAUAGCAAGUAAAGGUUUUGUGAAUAUUAGCUAAGUGCCUUAUCCUUACCCUACUUUAAGUAAAAUUACUCAGAAGAAAAUGACUGUGAUAUGUAGAGAAUUUAAUGUUGUUAUUAAUCUAGAUUCCAGCGCUCCUGAUUCACGGUGAAACAACUUCGUUGAUAGUAAAAGAAAAAUAGCUUUGAGUUGUGUUUGUCAACAUUGGAAGUCUGCAGUUAAAAACUGAAGAACAAUGAGAUGAUACCAGUGUUUCAUAUUUUCAACGUUGCCAGAAUUCUAUGGCAGUGGUGCUCCAGAUGUGCGUUUUAUACCCAAGGCUAAUGAAAUAAUUUGCCAGAGUAUGUCUCAAGUUGACUUUGUAGAAUGAUUUUUACUUCAUUAAAAUUUUGGUCUGUUGAGAGUGGAGUACAGUUUUACUAACAGCAGACAGAGUAAGGUCAUUUCCAAAAUUUAACACCGAUCUGGGAAGUCCAACAUAGCAUUUCUUGUAAGUACUGCUUUUAUCAGUUGAUUCUUUAUAUAUUUCUUUAGGGUUCUGCAGUGAACAAGAGUGCCUGGAGGUGUGUGGUUGCUAAUGGUGACUGAAGGCCCGUUAAGUUAUUGUUAACUCUUGUUUCCUUUAUUUUGAGAAAAACUUCCCAGACAAAUGUUGUUGCUGUAAACUCGCAAUGAAGCUAGUGAUAGCGUAAGCUGACACUAUAUGUAGUGAUAUAUUGCUGUAAUAGGUUCAUCAUAAGAAUAAACCUGAUGUAAUCAAGCACGAUCAUUGGUCGGAAGUGGUGGCACGUGUACAUCGUGUUACUCUUUGAAGUAGGUCCUACUUAUGUGUCAGGUAUUUUAUUACUAGGUUAUGUUAAAUGAAACUUUAAGAUAUCAAAUGUAUUAACAGCCAUUAACGUUUUUCUUAAUCACACUGUAGCUAUGUAGUUUUUACUUAAAAAAUUGUGUAAUAACAGCCUCUGCAGUGUUGUGCUCUGAUUAUUGCGCUGUUAAUGCGCAAUAUGAAAAUGGCAGAGGCUGCUUUCUGUUGUGUAGUGGAACACAGUUCAAAAGUGCCAAGAAAUAGGCUCAUAAAUUUACUGAGGUAAUUGGCUUUGAAGUAUCUCCAGCGAAGUAUACACUGCAGUUAAUAAACUAAAACCACACUGUACAUGUAGCACAGUCAGUCACAUAAUGGUAUGUGAACCAAAUGUGGUUAUUCAUGCAUUGGUUCAGAUAUCCCCAGAAUCAUUCUAUUUUUCCUCUCAUUCAAUCUGAAAUAAUUAUAUCUUGUUAUUUAUUAUGAAUAAUGCAUGUCUCCUUGUUUCUAAUUACAUAUGGGAUGUAAAAUUCCUGUUUCCAUUUCAAAUACAAAUUCUUAAUUAUCAAUCUUUCAUGAAAGACUGUCCAUAAAAGUUGUUUAAUUAAACUACUUCAUUUUUUAAAGAAAAAAUGAAAAACCAAAUCCUCUUUAUUUGGACUAUGUCCAUUGUUUACUACCAUAGAGGUAGUAGAUAUGUAUUGUGGAAACAUGAAAGACAAUCGUUUUCACAGCAUUGUGCACAUGAUCCAAAUGAUGCAUUUUUACAUUUGCUACUGUGUCAUUACAGUAUGAAGUCAACAGAAGUGAUCUGCAGCCUAGCUGUGGGAUUUGGCCCACGAAGUAACAAGACUAUUAUCAUGCUAGACAUACUGGAACUAAUGCACACAGCUUUUUCACGCUGACAGGAUAUAGAAUGGCUUCUCGUAAAAGAAGAGAGAAUGCUUCACAUGGUUGGCUUUGUGGAUUCUGUUGUUGAUAGGCUCAUUAUCAACGUAGCAAGUGACAUUUCCAGAAUUGAAAUGUUUUCGGAUAAGGAAGGAGCUAAGAGAUCACCAGAUGACUGACUAACUGAGCAAGAUAUGAAAUGGUAAAUUACACAACAGAGAACUUGUGAAUCUUGUACCCAGCAUAUUUUUACUGAAAAGUUUUAAGAACAAUGCGGCUAGCAAACAGAAGACUUGAUCUUCUGCAGAAAGACAUGUAUGAUAUACUUGUAAAAAAAAACAGUAAUAAUGUUGACUGAACAAGCAAGAAAUCCAGUUUUAUGCAACAAUUGCUGCUACAGCUGAUCCACAAAAGGUAGGUACCUAACACACUUCCGAGGUAAUCCCAUUUACAAAAACAUUUGUAUUUUAGUCGGGGAAUUGUAAGACUGCAAAUCAUUCGACUGCAUACAAAAUUGAAAAGCUGAGGAAAACUUCUAAGUUAACAUAGACGUGCAUGACAAUUCUCAUACUCACACUUUCAGUGGCAUAUGCUGCUGUUGUUAACUUAUUCUAAAGUAUAGCAUCAUGAAUAAAUUUGGUUUGUAACUGAAUUGCCAAGAUUUGGCUAUUCUUUACAAUACAGGGGCAGUCAUGUCUCCAUAAUUAAUGUUUCUAAUGCAAAAACGUAGAUUUUAUUAUUUAAUGGGUAGAAGUAUAAUAGAAAACAAAGAUUGAUCAUAGACAUAGCUUUCACUGCUGGGGCAUUGGAAUGAAGUUGUCAAGUUGGUAAUAAUAUUCACAGCACUGUUGUGCCUGUAUGUGUCAGAUGUGGAAGUAGACAGACUUGGUAAUUCUUGCACAGCUAAACAUUUUGAUGAAACAGGGCUCCCAUAUUUGAAGAAUAAAAAGUGGUUUGCAGUUAACCAGUUCUGGGUACAUAGGGUGCAAUCCUACAGACUGUACUGACAAUGUUUCUCCAACAAAAUAAAUAAAUACAUUACCAUUGUGAUUAUUAAACUAACAAAUAGGUGGCAUCUGCAAGAAGAAUAAAACAAGUGGCAAUAUGAAUGAAUUGCAUACACGCACUAAAAAAUAUCAAUAAAAGUAAUUAAAAUUGUAUUUUGAUCUCAUAAGAACAUUAUCACAACUCUUCAGAUUUUUAGGUAAAAGAAUAAUGCAGUAGGCACCUUUAGGAGACAUUCGUUAAGUAGCAUUGUAUUCAGUAUAGGUUCAUAUUGUGUAAACUGCAUUCCAUCAAAAUGAUGCUUCAUAAUUUUAAUACAAAGAAACUUCAUGAAUUUGUCACAGUUGUAUAAUAGUCUGUAUCUAAUAAUUCAAACACGAGCUAUCGCACAAGGACAGCAGCAGAUGUUUUUAUAUUAAAAACAGGUAAGUAGAGGUAUUGUCCAUUGUUGACAUGCAUGUACAGUUAUUUGGUUUGGUGCACAAUCUCAACUCAUUGAGCUUGUAUACCCUUCAUUGUAACGACAGCCUCGAGUAUUACCUUGGACAGGGAGUGAAUAUCAUUGGCUCUUUAGUUGAAGCAACACACACACACUCUCUCUCUCUCUCUCUCUCUCUCUCUCUCUCUCUCUCUCUCUCUCUCUCUCUCUCUAUGCUGCAGUGUUACUGUAGUGCCCUGGGUCAAAGCAUCGUGGCACAUUACGAAAGUGGAGUAUAACACAGUACCACAUGUUUUGCAGCAGUGGAACUGUUACAUUUGUGUGGAGCCAAUACAGAAAACGGCUACAAAUGUUUCCACCGCUGCUGAAAACAAGUUACUUUGUAAAUCGGUCUGUAGUGGU
rnacentral:lncRNA from 1 species